GAUGAAGAACGUAGCAAAAUGCGAUAAGUAAUGUGAAUUGCAGAAUUCAGUGAAUCAUCGAAUCUUUGAACGCACAUUGCGCCCGCUGGUAUUCCGGCGGGCAUGCCUGUUCGAGCGUCAUUUCAACCCUCAAGCCCCCGGGUUUGGUGUUGGGGAUCGGCUCUGCCCUUCUGGGCGGUGCCGCCCCCGAAAUACAUUGGCGGUCUCGCCGUGGCCCUCCUCUGCGCAGUAGUAAAACACUCGCAACAGGAGCCCGGCGCGGUCCACUGCCGUAAAACCCCCCAACUUUUUAUAGUUGACCUCGAAUCAGGUAGGACUACCCGCUGAACUUAAGCAUAUCAAUAAGCGGAGGA
rnacentral:misc_RNA from 1 species